rnacentral:rRNA from 1 species
ACGCUGGCGGCAGGCCUAACACAUGCAAGUCGAGCGGUAGAGAGAAGCUUGCUUCUCUUGAGAGCGGCGGACGGGUGAGUAAUGCCUAGGAAUCUGCCUGGUAGUGGGGGAUAACGCUCGGAAACGGACGCUAAUACCGCAUACGUCCUACGGGAGAAAGCAGGGGACCUUCGGGCCUUGCGCUAUCAGAUGAGCCUAGGUCGGAUUAGCUAGUUGGUGAGGUAAUGGCUCACCAAGGCGACGAUCCGUAACUGGUCUGAGAGGAUGAUCAGUCACACUGGAACUGAGACACGGUCCAGACUCCUACGGGAGGCAGCAGUGGGGAAUAUUGGACAAUGGGCGAAAGCCUGAUCCAGCCAUGCCGCGUGUGUGAAGAAGGUCUUCGGAUUGUAAAGCACUUUAAGUUGGGAGGAAGGGCAGUUACCUAAUACGUAUCUGUUUUGACGUUACCGACAGAAUAAGCACCGGCUAACUCUGUGCCAGCAGCCGCGGUAAUACAGAGGGUGCAAGCGUUAAUCGGAAUUACUGGGCGUAAAGCGCGCGUAGGUGGUUUGUUAAGUUGGAUGUGAAAUCCCCGGGCUCAACCUGGGAACUGCAUUCAAAACUGACAAGCUAGAGUAUGGUAGAGGGUGGUGGAAUUUCCUGUGUAGCGGUGAAAUGCGUAGAUAUAGGAAGGAACACCAGUGGCGAAGGCGACCACCUGGACUGAUACUGACACUGAGGUGCGAAAGCGUGGGGAGCAAAC